UUGGAGGGCAAGUCUGGUGCCAGCAGCCGCGGUAAUUCCAGCUCCAAUAGCGUAUAUUAAAGUUGUUGCAGUUAAAAAGCUCGUAGUUGAAUUUCGGGGUCAGUAGGUUGGUCAUGCCACUGGUAUGUACUGGCCUCACUGAUUCCUCCUUCCUGAUGAGCCGUAAUGCCAUUAAUUUGGUGUUGCGAGGAAUCUGGACUGUUACUUUGAAAAAAUUAGAGUGUUUAAAGCAAGCUAACGCUUGAAUACAUUAGCAUGGAAUAAUGAAAUAGGACGUUCGAUCCUAUUUUGUUGGUUUCUAGGAUUGACGUAAUGAUUAAUAGGGAUAGUUGGGGGCAUUAGUAUUCAAUUGUCAGAGGUGAAAUUCUUGGAUUUAUUAAAGACUAACUACUGCGAAAGCAUUUGCCAAGGAUGUUUUCAUUAAUCAAGAACGAAAGUUAGGGGAUCGAAGACGAUCAGAUACCGUCGUAGUCUUAACCAUAAACUAUGCCGACUUGGGAUCGGAUGAUGUUAUUUUUAAUGACUCAUUCGGCGCCUUACGGGAAACCAAAGUGUUUGGGUUC
rnacentral:rRNA from 1 species